CCCCCGGCCUCGCCUCCUCCCCGCAGUGCCCCGCUCCCUCCCCGCACGGCACCGCCCCCUUUCUUCGGCCUCAGCUCUUGGCGGGAGCUCACUCCCCACCGCCUCCCGCAGAAGCCCAAUCACAACCAUCCAGAGAGAAAAAUGACUAUUCUGCAUUUAUAAUCUUCCCCCAGUAGCUGUCGCCGUGACUUGGGCUCCACCUUGCAAUGUGUGGACGCGCGCUGUGAAAAGCUUAACAGGAGUGGCUUGAACCGGGCUUGUCUUCUCGUGGACGUGUCGUUUUGUGCACAGAGAGCAUCUUUUCCGAGUCUUGGCAGAACGUCCCGUUUGGAUCACUUUCAACACGUUAUUCAUUAUCCUCUGGGCGUUCCCUGUCACAGUGCCUUGAAUGCCUCGUCUGUCCUCUGGGAUGUAUGGUCCUUUUUUCCAAGCCUCUUUCCUCAACUUCUCAUUCCUGCGUUCCCCUGGGGGCAAAUCUGGAGUCUUUGGAAAGGUGUCGAGAAGAAAUUGAAAGCAGCAUAAAAGUAGUAAGCGUUUCAGCAGAAGGAAGGGGUUCAUGAACCCAAGAACCUACCCAGGGUGGUGUCAUGAAGCAGGCUCUCUUCCCCUGCAGAGAUGCUGAGGAAUACCAGGGAGGCACCAGGUACCACAGAAGACGGAUGAAGGUGAGGGAGACAAGAAGCAUGGAACACAGGGGCUUUAUUUGAAAGAUCAGAUAAGAAAUGUCAUUUCUUAUAGAUCAAUGGAACAAAAUAGAAAGCCCAGAGAUAAAUCCACGAACCUAUGGACACCUUAUCUUUGACAAAGGAGGCAAGGAUAUACAAUGGG